rnacentral:rRNA from 1 species
UCGGGAAUUUUGGGCAAUGGGCGAAAGCCUGACCCAGCAACGCCGCGUGAAGGAUGAAGUAUUUCGGUAUGUAAACUUCGAAAGAAUGGGAAGAAUAAAUGACGGUACCAUUUAUAAGCUCCGGCUAACUACGUGCCAGCAGCCGCGGUAAUACGUAGGGUCCGAGCGUUGUCCGGAGUUACUGGGCGUAAAGCGCGCGCAGGCGGCCCGCCAAGCAUGGCGUGAAAGCCCCCGGCUCAACCGGCGAGGGUCGCCGUGGACUGGCGGGCUUGAGGGCGGCAGGGGUCGGUGGAAUGCCCGGUGUAGUGGUGAAAUGCGUAGAGAUCGGGCGGAACACCCGUGGCGAAGGCGGCCGACUGGGCCGGCCCUGACGCUGAGGCGCGAAGGCGUGGGGAGCGAA